UAAAAUAAACGAGCUUGAUCGACGCGAUAGUACGUCGAUGUUUCGAAAAGUUUAGCGAUCCGUUGUCGCGAACGAAGCCUCUCUGCGGGCACUAUGCCCACUGCCCGGACAAAGGUAUUUCAAGCACCGUCUCUCGAUUGCACGCCCCUUUAUUCCUGGGUUAACACGUCUCUAAAUCGACCCGACGCGACGCGCGAUCCUCGCCAAACGAAAGCUUAUCGGUAUUGGCCAACCGCGAACACCAAUUUAUAACAUUCGUUGAUUACGUUUUCACUCGCCGUAUUAUUACUCGGCCAACAAUUGCAAUUCUACCGAUUGAAAAAUUCGAUUUUUUAUAUUGCAUUCUAUCAUUUAGCUGCAGACAAUCGACUAUGGGCUCCUCUUUCUACCUAUCUGUCUAUUGUAUACCGGUGAAAUCUACCUUUUAAUCUACUUUUUAAAUCUACUUUUUAAGUUGCCACGAAUUCACGAAUUAAAUAAAACGAAAACUAUUCUAUUCUCUUUCAAACAUUUUCGCGCGUUCCGUACAUUUCUACAUACACACGCGCAUAUCUACCACAUUUUUAAUUCUAGCUGUACCUAUUUACACGCGUAGUGACGUACCGCUCCGAUUUACGCGAAACGCGAACCGUAAACGCCCCCAUGCGGUCGCCGCCCGAACAACGUCCUCGUCAGUUCUCCUAUCGAUUAGUCGCGUGUUGCGUGUUCGAUUUGCGCAGUUUUGAGGUUAGAACGUUCGCGUUUAAACGCCUUGUCGCGAUUGUUUGGCUGGCUCGUUUAUUCAGUUUGGUCAAUGCUCUGUUCGAUAAAAUACUUUAAUGAUCAAAUUGCUUAUCAUCGACGUCAAAUAUCGUAGUGUUAUCUGGAUGUAGAAUCGCAGAAAUCGUAUCUUAAAUAAAUCGUACGACGAAAAGAAAAUAAAGAAACCAGGAAAACUGUUCAAUCAUCGAAGAUGCAGGAGACGAAGAAACGAUCGCGAUGAUCGUUGUGCAAAGACAGAAAUUGGACAGUACCAGACAUGCAUAACGCUUCCUCUAUCUCGGUAGUACACACGAAAAAGUGACUGGACAAUAAUGAACCAUGCUAACACCGGAAUGAAGAUUUAUUCGAACGACCUAUCGAUCCUGCGACAUAGAAAAUUUCACUCGGCCGAUAAACUUUACUCGAACGAAAUGGUAGGAUUGGACAGUCAAGAAUUACUCCGAACAAAUAUUUCCAAUGCUACCAUGGAAUUGGAAAUGAAAUCCGACGAUGAAACGGAAAGCGACGGGGAACCGCAUACGCGACGACUUAUACCGUCACCGAUCGAUCAUCGGUGCGUUAACGACGAUGACGACGGUAACGACGACGACGACGACGACGACAACGAUAACGAUGAUGACGGCCACCACAAUAACGACAAACAGUCGAUCGUUAUUCAAACUUGUCAAUCGAAUCGAACGGAGGAAGAUAAUCUUUGGUCCACUUCGAUGCAAAUGUUCGUGCCUUUUUUAUUGGCCGGUUUUGGUAUGGUAGCUGCCAGUUUGUUACUGGACGUUGUACAGCAUUGGCCCGUUUAUCAAAUGGUAUCGGAAGUAUAUAUAUUGGUGCCAGCGUUGCUCGGUUUAAAAGGAAAUUUGGAGAUGACGUUGGCCUCCCGAUUUUCGACUCAUGCCAAUCUCGGCUACACGGAUACCAGAAAGCAACGGUGGACCCUGAUAAUUGGAAACGUUACGUUGAUCCAAUGUCAAGCAACGGUAGUAGGUCUAUUAGCUUCUAUAGCAGCAGUCGUACUCGGUUGGAUUCCGGAAGCUCAGUUCGAUAUUCACCAUGCUCUUUUACUAUGCGCCAGUGCCUUAUCUACCGCGUCCAUAGCCAGUUUUAUAUUGAGUUUGGUGAUGAUCGCUGUUAUACUUCUAUCCAAAGAGAUGAACAUCGAUCCGGAUAAUAUAGCUACGCCGAUCGCAGCCUCUCUCGGUGAUUUAACUACUCUGGCCCUUCUUUCAGGAAUCGCGUCUGUUUUGUAUAAAACGAUGGAAUACGCGGCAUGGAUAGCUCCCACCUUGAUCGCGGUCCAUAUCGUGGUUACUCCCGUUUGGGGCUACGUAGCGGCAAAAAAUCCAUUUACCAGGGAAAUAUUAGACUAUGGCUGGGUACCGGUGAUAUGCGCGAUGCUAAUCAGCAGCGUAGGAGGUUUAAUACUGGACUACACAAUAUCCAGUUACAAAGGUAUAGCUGUAUUUCAGCUGGUAAUAAAUGGCGUCGGUGGUAAUUUGGUCGCUGUUCAGGCCAGUAGAAUAUCAACGUCUUUACACAAAGAUCGUCGAUACGGUAUUUGUAGAACCACCGUUCGUUUCAAUCCGUGGCACGUGUUCUGUAGCAAAGGUGGACACGCGAGAACCGCCCGAGUUCUCUUGGCGAUGGUGAUACCUGGUCAUCUGAUAUUUGGUUACACCAUCAGUUAUCUUCAAGCUGGACACACGUCUUUCACGCCUAUAUUCAUCGUAGUCUACUUGACCGCGGCUUUGUUACAGGUAAUUUUAUUGUUAUACAUCGCCCAACUGAUGGUCGCGUGGAUGUGGUCGAAAGGAAUGGAUCCAGACAGUUCCGCGAUACCGUACCUAACGGCCGCCGGUGAUUUAAUUGGAACGGCAUUACUAGGAAUCGCUUUUCAUCUGCUAUACGCCAUCGGUGACAAAGAUUCGGACGUAGGAGACUGACCGUUCCGGACCUUUAUGUUCGUUUACGUUUCGAUCUUGCGCAGAACGUUCGCUCCAUACGGAAAAGAACAUGCAACAAUGGCAAUGACGGCAAUUACGACAACCACGUCAAUUAGAAAGAAAAAAGGCUCGCAUAUACGCGAACGUUGGACAAAACCGUAUCAAACUUUUCUAUCCAUUUUGUUCCGAGUAUAUUCGACGCUUACUCGGACGUUUAAGGACCGUAUUUAUCUUUACGGUUCGGUUUUUCUCCACUUAUUCGCUGAUUCGAGUAGGUUAAAAGUAACGAAACUGGUCGAUGGGACAAAGCUACCGUUGUAAUAAAAAAUUUACCGCGGCCACGCGAAGCCUGACUUUGAAGGUGAUACGACCUUGCUCUUAUCGUAGCGAGAAAAGAAGCAUACGUGCUAGGAGGAAAACUUGUACGAUUCCGAAUGUUCGUUAAAAAAUGUAGAAAAGAUUCGUUUACAUUUUCCUGGCGUUCGCAACUAGAAGAAACGGUAAGAUAAGCGUGUUCUCGAUACACGAUAAAAGAAACGGGCAACGUUCCGAGGUACAGCACGACGACGAUGAAGGGCGAGCGAUAUCGCAUAUGUCUGGAUCGUGAUCGAUUGGCGAGCCGAAGAAAGACAAUCGAUUCCAAUAGGGUAGACGUUGAAAACGACAUAGAGUAACUGGAUAUUUUCACGGGAAAUAGAGACAGACGACGGGUAGAUUCGGGUUAAUCCGAAAGAAGCGGACUAUAUCGAAGAAGGCAGAUAGGUUCUCUGCCUGCUCGCACGGCCAGGAGGAACAGUGGCAAGCGGAGGACAGGUAGUAGACGCGGGCGGACAGUAAAGCAGGCAAGCAAUCGGGCUUCGCUAGGAGCGAUGAUCGAUAAAUUCGCGCUUGCUCCGUUCGAGCCAUGUUCCCGGUAAAAGUCCCGAGCGAGCGUUUAAGGAGACUAGCGUGAUGCACGAUCGAGAUCAGUCGCGAUGUAACCAUAGCGUGAAACGGCCUCGCACCAGGCCACCUGCCUUACACCGCCAAAUGCGUGACAACGGUUAAUUUUCUUUUU